rnacentral:rRNA from 1 species
AUGAUUUUAGGUGCUUGCACUUGAAAGAUUUAACAUUGAGACGAGUGGCGAACUGGUGAGUAACACGUGGGUAACCUGCCCUUGAAGUAGGGGAUAACACUUGGAAACAGGUGCUAAUACCGUAUAACAACCAAAACCACCUGGUUUUGGUUUAAAAGACGGCUUCGGCUGUCACUUUAGGAUGGACCCGCGGCGUAUUAGCUUGUUGGUAAGGUAACGGCCUACCAAGGCGAUGAUACGUAGCCGACCUGAGAGGGUAAUCGGCCACAUUGGGACUGAGACACGGCCCAAACUCCUACGGGAGGCAGCAGUAGGGAAUCUUCCACAAUGGACGAAAGUCUGAUGGAGCAACGCCGCGUGAGUGAUGAAGGGUUUCGGCUCGUAAAACUCUGUUGUUGGAGAAGAACAGGUGUCAGAGUAACUGUUGACAUCUUGACGGUAUCCAACCAGAAAGCCACGGCUAACUACGUGCCAGCAGCCGCGGUAAUACGUAGGUGGCAAGCGUUGUCCGGAUUUAUUGGGCGUAAAGCGAGCGCAGGCGGUUUUUUAGGUCUGAUGUGAAAGCCUUCGGCUUAACCGGAGAAGUGCAUCGGAAACCGGGAGACUUGAGUGCAGAAGAGGACAGUGGAACUCCAUGUGUAGCGGUGAAAUGCGUAGAUAUAUGGAAGAACACCAGUGGCGAAGGCGGCUGUCUGGUCUGUAACUGACGCUGAGGCUCGAAA